ACGAACUGGUUCUGGGACUGAAUGACCAAGGAGAAACCCUGGGGAAGUGAGAGAAAAGAAGAGAGGGUGAGAGAGAAGCAGUCUGGAUAUGUGGCAUCUGAGUGAUUCCUGAGGGAACACUGGAGGUCUGCAACCUGAAGAGCACUGGUGCAGGGUAUUAAGGCAAAUAGAAGUCAAGGCUUUAGCUGAAGAAUGCAGAGGCAGGAUUCUUCCUCGUUGGGUGGAUUGGGGAUUUCAGAAGAAGGAACUUGGGUAAGACAUGCAGAAAACGUCUCCCAACUAAGCUUGUCAUAAACUUCUGGACUGGAUGACAAGGAAAUUAUGGCAUCUUCCACUCAAAAGCCUUGAAGAAGAAGAGAGACAGCCAUCUGCUUGUGCUUGUUUGGGAGCACCAGCUACUUUCACCCAGGACAGGAACCUAUCUGGAUGAUGGACCCAGGACCAUAAAUUUGUGUUGGAAUGGUCCUUGGAAGUCAUCUACUUCAACGUCAACAUUUUACAAAAGUGGACACUGAGACCAAGAGAAGUUGGGUGACUUGUCUAAGGUCACACAGAUACUUGGGAGGAGUGAAACACCUCUUUUCUUGAAUUCAGAUGUAUAAAAGUCUGUCUUCUGUGGAAGAGGCAUGAAGAGAGGAAGGUUUUGAAGGAUAAGGCAAGAUGCAAGAGAGUAACCUGGGGACAUGUUUUGUCAAUCAAGACGAAGAUUCUAAAACAGAAUGUUCUCAGGAGUUGCAGUUGAGCUGAUGAGGGGGAGGGGCUGAAAGUGUCACUCUCUCUUGGGCAGUGGAGGCUGGCAGUUGAGGCUGGCUGAAGACCCUGAUUGUGCUGGCUUGUUUUGGGGUUUUUUUUCUGAUCAAGGGGAGACCCCUGCGCUUUCUGAGAUUUUGACUGACCAAGAGUUGGGUUUUUUUUUUUUUUUGUCUACAGAGAGAGGAGAAGAAGGAGAAACUUGGCUUUUGAGUUGGUUGUCUCUCUCUGAGAGUUUAAGCCGGCCAGGAGAAACUGAAAGACCUUGAAGGUGUCGUAAAAGAAGAAAGAAGAUCUUAGCUGUUGUCCUCCAUUUAUUUAACUGUUCCUCUUCUCACCUUUGUUAUUGGACUAUUUUCAUAACCCUCUCAAAUUCCCCUUAUAGAUUAGGGAAACCCUCAUCCUACUUUUCUCAGUUUCCCAUCCUGUUAUCCCAAUAAACCCCUAUUUGAAAAAGGAAAAGAAAAGAAGAUCUUUAUAGUUCACUUAGUGGGGAGGGAAGAAGCCAAAGGCUUCAAGAAGAAUUGGGAGGUGAAGGGGGGCAGGGAGCAGAGGGUUGGAAAAGGGAGGGAGUAAGGGAGGAAGGAGGUUAGGAGGUAGAUUGAUCUAUCAACCAUCAGUAGGAAUCAAUAGGCAAACCCCAGAGUAAACCCCAGAGCAGUCCUCUGUGUACCCGCCAGUAUCCCUGUGUGGCAGCAUUCCCCUGUACUAGCAGUGUCUCUCAUCUAUCACCAUUGUAACUAGGAGAUCCUCAGGGUGGUUCCCCUCUAGCAGCUCUCUCUAGUCAUAAGCCAGAGGACAGCAGUCAGUUCAAGAAGAAACAGUUUCUCUCUGUUUACUUUUCUAUAUUUCAAUAAGUAAUAGUUUCCCUCAGUUUAUAUUCUAUUUCAAGCAAUAAUAGUUUCACUCAGUUUCCUCAGUUUACUUAUUCUAUUUCAAGUGCCAGAGCAUUCAGUCAUUGCAACAAGUAACAGUGUCACCACAGAUUCAUCCUUCAGUUACAUAUUCUAUUUCACUUCCCCUGUAUUCAGGGUCCAGCCCUAAAUGGAGGAAGGGGUCUGCUCUGGUCCCGAUUUAUGAGGCAAUUGGAUUCAUUGCUUAAUAAAUUGAAAUGCUCAGAAGCUUGAA